rnacentral:rRNA from 1 species
CUGACUGCUAUCGGAUUGGUACUAAGCCAUGUGAGUCAUUGUAGCAAUACAAGGCAUACGGCUCAGUAACACGUAGUCAAUCUGCCCUAUGGACGUGGAUAACCUCGGGAAACUGAGAAUAAUCCGCGAUAGAUCAUAAUGCCUGGAACGGUUAUGGUCCAAAUGAUUCGUCGCCAUAGGAUGGGACUGCGGCCUAUCAGCUUGUUGGUGAGGUAAUGGCCCACCAAGGCUAUUACAGGUACGGGCUCUGAGAGGAGAAGCCCGGAGAUGGGUACUGAGACACGGACCCAGGCCCUAUGGGGCGCAGCAGGCGAGAAACCUUUGCAAUGUGCGCAAGCACGACAAGGUUAAUCCGAGUGUUUCCUGCUAAAGGAAUCUUUUGUUAGUUCUAAAACCACUGAUGAAUAAGGGGUGGGCAAGUUCUGGUGUCAGCCGCCGCGGUAAAACCAACACCUCAAGUGGUCAGGAGGAUUAUUGGGCCUAAAGCAUCCGUAGCCGGUUCUGUAAGUUUCCGGUUAAAUCCACUAGCUCAACUAAUGGGCUGCCGGAAAUACUGCAGAACUAGGGAGUGGGAGAGGUAGACGGUACUCGGGAGGAAGGGGUAAAAUCCUUUGAUCUCUUGAUGACCACCUGUGGCGAAGGCGGUCCACCAGAACACGUUCGACGGUGAGGGAUGAAAGCUGGGGGAGCAAACCGGAUUAGAUACCCGGGUAGUCCCAGCUGUAAACGAUGCAGACUCGGUGAUGCACUGGCUUUUGGCCAGUGCAGUGCCGCAGGGAAGCCGUUAAGUUUGCCGCCUGGGAAGUACGUACGCAAGUAUGAAACUUAAAGGAAUUGGCGGGGGAGCACCACAAGGGGUGAAGCCUGCGGUUCAAUUGGAUUCAACGCCGGAAA